GGGCCUUCUCUGCAGUAUUAGCCCCCUUUUUGCCCAGUGAUGCUCUGUCUGCGCCUGUAUGUGUGUGACAGUCACUUUUGCAUGCCUUUUGUGUCUGGCUCCCAGCAUUUGGGGACAGGAUGCUGGAACCAGAGCAUUUUCAGCUUGUCUGAGGCUUGUUUGCCAAUUAUAGGUCACUCCUGUUUACCUGGUAUGUCUGCUUUCUUAACUUCUUUUCCUUGCCUUCUCCUGGGAGAGGGAGGAUUCCUGAUUGGGGUUGAGUUGACCUGCACGUAGCUCAUUGCCUUUUCCCCUGCAUGGCCUUCUUAGAGCAGGACAAGUGGCAUAUUAUUUCACUAAGUUCCCAAACAUCUAAGCAAGUAACACAUUCCCUGCAGAUCCAGAAACAGGCUCAACAAGGUUAUGUUUGACUUGCCCAAGAGUACCUAGCUGCUAGUGGGGAAAGCAAGCCAUUACUGCCUCUGUUCAGCAGCAGGAAUAGGCUGUGAAUUGCUAGCAAUUACUGUUUUGUUUUGCUUUUUUAGCAGUUACUUUUUGGCUUGUUCCAUAACCUUAAAAGCAAGGGGCAUACGUCUUUCCCAGACAUAGGCUGGAAUCUGCAGCUUCUGAGGUGCCACACACCGUAUAGCUCUGCAUUCUCAGCGUGGAGGGACUUGUAGAAACCAAGUGAUCUGAGCUGUUACUGCCCACCCCUGGCUUUCCAGGAUAGAAAAUUCAUGGUAGGAAUAACUGUUCAGAGAAAGUACUUGGAACUACAGGUUAAUAAGAAAGCCUGCAUAAUUAACAUAUCUGUACCCAGAGCAGCCACCAUGACUUGUCUAUCAGCAGGAAAAUGAUUUGUAUUGAGUUCCUGUGUGUCCAAAGCUGAGGCACCAUGUCCUUUGAAAAUAUGCACUGCACUGCACUGCUUCUAUUUAUGGGGACCUGUGGCUGCAGAGCUGGCUCCUGAGUUGGGAAGGAGAGGGAAGGAUGCAGCUGGAAGUGACUGAAGAUGAUGUGGUAGUGGGAAAAGGCAGAAUUAAGGGAGAAAAGAGUGUGGGUCAGAGAGGCUGAGGAGCACCAGGGCUGCCAGGACACCCUCAGUAGGAGCCAGAGGUGCUUAAGCUCUCCUGGGGGUGGGGGGCGCACCACGCUCUCAAGAGUCAGGGCCAAAGCCUCUGAUUUACAUGUGACAGUGACAUUGCACUGCUCAACCACCAGCCAGUGGGGUUUUUUUUUUUUUUUUUAAGAAAACCGUUGCAAUCAUAAUUAAUGCUUAUUAAGAAAAAUCUGGGACUUUUAAAAAGAAUCAGUUUGCCACCAAAAUGUUACCACUGCUAAUCUUUUGGUGUUUAGUGUUCCUCUAGACAUUUCUGUGCAUAGAUUUUUGGUGUGUUUACAUAGUUGUUAUUCUACUGUAUAUACAAUUUUAUGUCCUUUUUGUACUUAACAUAUAAACGUUUUUUCCAUGUUAUCUGUCUUAAACAGAAUUUUAUGGCUGC
rnacentral:lncRNA from 1 species